rnacentral:tRNA from 1 species
AGACAAGUAAGCUAAAACUCAAGCUAUCGGGCUCAUACCCCGUUUAUAGAGAUAAUCUCUCUUCUCUA